AGUAAAGCUUUAUGAAAUCCUUAAAUUGGUGCGAUUUCUCUGCAAUGUUGGCUCCUCUUCUUCUUCGAUUCCUCAUAUUGAGCUGGAUUUCGGCCUUCUUCAAUCUUGUCUUGAACUUCCUGAUGCAUAUGCUUGCCUAUUCCCCACGUCUGAAGCUGUAUGUGCAUGUUGUUUCCUCUUUUUGUCGACUUGGCAUUGCUCAGGUGACCCACUCUUUUCCUCUCACAUUUUAUCUUUCUUUUGCUCUGUAUAUCACCUGAAAAUUGUUUUCUUGCAUCUUCAUGAACCAUCCGAGCUCUAUCCAUCUCAAACUCUCCCAGAUCUGCUUCGGACCUCUGUAUGAGCUUGGAUAUCGCUUCAUCUCCUGUUGAAUCUAGAGGAGUUGCUUUGUUCUGAAGCUCGAUGCUUGUUGCCCUUGAUUGAUGUUCCUUGUUGAAGAUCGGUGUUUUGUUGUUGUAGCUUCUCCUGCUGGUAUGCAUGUUGUGGUGAUUCCACCACUGAAGCUGAUAGGAGCUUGAUGGUGCUAUUCUUUUUUGUUGAUUCAUCCAGUAAUUCUUCGUGCAUUCUUGUCCUUGAACCUAUACUUGUGUUGUGGUAUUGUAGUUGACAAACGUUGCGUAGUAAUUUCCAUUUCUGCAUCACAUAUGUCAUUUGUUUUGAUGAACAUGAAGGAUUAGCUGUUACUCUUCCUCCUAUUGGUCUUAGCCAGAAUAAAAUUGAUUUUUGUUCAUUCGGUUGAGCACCAAAUGGUGCUAAUACCACAAAUCGAACAUCCAUCAACCCAAACUGAUUCAUACCAACAUUGAUGCCUUUCUGAAUUGCAUGUUGAUAACGUUUGGUGUCCAUGUGUUUUUUGUUGCUAGAUUUUGGAUUUGAGUCCAGAAAUUUUAAAAAAAAUCGUUGAUAAAGAGCGCUUCCUCAUUUAUGAGCCCAUGCGACACAAAUUCGAAUUAGUGUCUUUUUUCAGAAGAUAAUAGAAAGUAUCCCUUAUUUUCAAUUGUUUGGAUAUUCGGAUAAGCAUCCCUAGCUAGUAUAUUAAUAUUUCAGGUGAUAUUUAUUUUUAAACGCCACAUUAAUAUGUGUUGAAGAGACUACUCCCUAGUUUGACAUCAAGACUUAGCUACAUAAGAGCUUGGUCUUUGGCAAUAAAAAGAUCUUAGAUUUUAAUAAGAUUUCACUGGAUAUGCUAAUAACUGAACAAUAUACUUUAAAAUAGUACCUUUAACGGAAUGGCAUGGUCAUUCCAUAUCUGCAACGGAAUUGAAGUUAGGCAUGGAGAAUGGGCCAGGGUGACUGGACUUAAUUACAUGAUAAAACAAAUAGGAGGAGCAUGAGUUGCGUGUUUUUGUGUUUUCAAUUUUUUUAUGAAUAAUGAGGCAACUAUUAGUAAUUAGAUUUAACUACGACCUAAAUUUGACAAUACACACAAUAUUUCUGAAAAAUCUUUGAACUUAGAUGGUAAAAUAAAUGUAAAGUAGAGUUGUAUGGAAAGAGUUGUUAUUAAACAAAUGGAUCACUAAACAGAUUAUAAUGACCAUAAUUAAAAGUAAAGCAAAUUAAAAGAGAAAUUGCGAGCUGCUGAGUUUUAUACUGACUCAGCUAGGCAUAUGGGCUAUGUCCAGUCUAUCUUAUACCAAGGUUUCAUUAGAUUAAUUUACUCCAAUCUUGAAUUCUUAUUAACAUUUUCCUUCUGUAACACAACUAGCUAUUGGAAAUCUCAAGUCUUCAAAUCUACUCUUUAACCUUCAUAAAUUUUAGCUAUAGUUGCCUUCAUCAUGUCUAUAUUUUCUCAUCUUCCUUCCAUAAUUUAUUUUCUAGUCUUUAAACUUCUUAAUCUUUAAUUUCCACAUUUUUGCUUGUGCAUGCAAUGUUGAUCAAUGGAUACUUUUCAUGGAAUGAAUCCAUUCCUUAGUUUUGAGUUAUAUCAUGAUUUGGAUUUUUUCAUUAAUCUAGGUGCAUCUUCCUUAAUAGUGCGAUCCUAGUUUAUUAUUCAAAUCCCAUAAAUUGUCCUUGAAUAUCCAAAUCUUGUAACCUUUCAUAGUAUGAAUUUCCAAUUAUUUUGCUCGACAAGAUUUUCAACCUUCCUUUUGCGUGACCAAUAGAAUUCUGCAAAAUAAAAGUAGUCAGAGAUUACUAAUCUUUGCUUUAUUAAAAUUUAAGUUUGUUAUCAUCAAACUUUAGAGUUGUGAAACUAUUAGGUAACACUAUCAAACUACUGAAAAAGAAGAUAUUUAUCGAACGACGAGUAAGAGUAGGCACCAAAGAGCUUUUAGAUCUAUCAUAAACAAUGUACUGUUGGUUUUCCCCAACCUACUCAGUCAAGGAGCUUUGACACCAACGAUACGCACAUUAGAAUCAUCUUAUAGGAUUUCUUAUCACAAAUGUAAUUUAGUUGCACAAAAAUCUGUUGUCGACGACCCAUACAUCUGCUUUGCGAGGAAAACUACUUGCACGUCCCUCUCCAUUUUAAAAUUGAGCCUUUAAUCACCUCUAGAUUGAUUUAACUCAUGCCUUAUGCUUCACAGCACCUCUGAAGAAUGUCAUAUGACAAGAUACUGCGCCUAACACACAAAGAAUAAUGUCAUGAAGCUAUAAUCUUUCAAUAAGCAAUGCUGGGACACCGAUUUCAACAAACUGUCAUAGACAUUUUUUCCCGAAGGAUUCACUCGUUCAAGACCAGACUCUUUCAUGGAUCCGAAUGUUCCCCCUGGGCCCGAUGAUCACCCGGGGCCCGUUGAUAGAUCAGUAUUGUCUUUGCAAGACAAUCAUAGGUCAGAGUUAUUAUGGGCCGGUACUAUAGGGAUAUCUACUAGGCUCCGUCCCCGCAGGUUGCAGAGAGCAUGGACUCUUUUACGCGAGCACUCCCCACACCCUCGCGUGUUGGAGAUAUUGUUUCGGGGCGGCAUCUACCGUUGCGUGUACGUUGGUCGGGUACAGCAUGAUUGGGCGCUCAUCACGGCCAUGGUUGAGCGGUGGAGGCCACAGACACAUACCUUCCAUCUUCGCACUGGUGAGGCCACGAUUACACUUGAGGAUGUAGAGGUCCUCUUUGGAUUGCGGGUUGAUGGAGAGCCACUGUACACUCGGUACGAGCCUCCUUCUGGUCGGACGUGGGUGACAGAGUUGACUAGGCUCACCCAUUUCGUGCCUGAUGCCGCGGCCCAGAUAUCCGGACAGAGUCUGGUUCAGCUUAGUGCACUCUGCACUUAUUUGGAGGGUCUGGAUCCGGUUGACGACGGCACCCCGCAGGACGAUGUUGAUCGUCAUGCCCGUUUGUACCUGCUUAUUAUAUUCGGGGGCAUCUUGUUCCCAAAUUCAUCGGGUGCCUUUGUCAGUUUACGUUACUUGGUUUUUUUGGAGCAUCUGGACCGCUUGGGAGAUUACAGCUGGGGCGGUGUUGUUUUGGCGUAUCUUUACAGAUGCCUGUGCCGAGCGUCUAUUGGUGCUGUCAGAGAUAUGUGUGAAUUUUUUGCUCUUCUCUAGGUAAUAUUUUAAGUGUGCGUUCCUUUAAUGUCAACAAACCUCUUGAAAGGACGACUAAAAAAUCGUAUUGUCAACAAAUCGAUUGAUCGGCAACCCAGCUUUGCGUCCCCCUAGGGAUGUAGGAUACUCAGCACUCGCGGGGCAGUAUGAGGCAUUGCUGGUGGCCGUACAACGUUUACGCAUCUUGGGGUUAGAGCAUAUGCCUUACCCUGGGCUUGCGGGGCUUGCCGCAGAGAUGGUUAGGAUUUCCGAGGAUGGUAUCCGGCAGGCAGGCGAGAUUAGGCGCAUGGCGGAGCCUGUUUUAGAGGCUGAGUAUCAGGCAGCACCGGGUGCUCCCAGAAGAGGAGGUCGUGCUGGCAGAGGACGCCGUGCGCGUAGAGGCCACGGCGCUGCUACUAGAGGACCUGGUGGUGGAGGACACCAUCUGGUAGAUGAGGCGGAUGAGGUCGAUCCCAUUCCAGAGGGCGUUCACGGUCUAGUCCAUCCGCAACCCUUCCAAGCCGGUGGGAGCUCACCUGGGGACUCUCACCUACGUUUACGCCGACGCUCUUACUUGCUGAGAUACCCGGGUCUUCAUCACAGCCGAGCCAGAAUGCAUACAUAGAGGAGCGUGAUAACAUUGAUUGGGCGGCGUUACGUGCUUCAUUAGCUGGUGAGCGGCCUGUGAGGAAUUUAGAGGGAGCCCGGAUUCUUGACUUCGAUGAGUUUUUGAUCCCGGAUUCGGCGCCAGCGGGUCCACCAGAGCCACCGACUCAGGCAUUUUCUCAUGGGCCUACCGAGCCAGCGAUGUCUUCCCAUGUGACUGUCGAGCCACAUGAUGCGGCGCCAGUGGGUCCACAGGAGUUGCCCAUUUCGGAGCAUUCUCAUCAGUCUGCCGAGGCAGAGGUGUCUUCUCAUGAGACUACCGAGGCGCAUCAUGUUGUCCAGGAGACUACCUCAUAUUCACCACCACACCCAUCUCAGGAGCCUACAGACCCAUCUUAGGAGCCUACUCAGGUUCAUCCUUCGGCGCCUGCGGUGGCGACUCCCGACGAGCAAGAGGUCGAGUUUCCAGACCCAGCUCAGCCUGAGGUUCUGAGCGUGCCAGCGGGACUAGAUCCCAAGAAGAAGCACGUUCUAGUUAAGGGCGCAAGGGCUAGGGGAAGAGGAGAUGAUCAUGACUUGGAGCGCCCGGUUAUUAAGAGGAAAAAAAGCGAUGGAGACGAUGGCGAGAGCGGUGGGGAUGGCAUGAGCCUUAGGCCCAGAGAUAGUCUCCGGCAUACUACAUGUGGGACCCAUCCUCGAUAGUGCAUAUACAUUAGUGUUGUACAAUUUAUCGUAAAUAUUAUCUAUUUUUUGCAUAUUUAUAAAUAUUAUCUUAGUCUUUA